rnacentral:rRNA from 1 species
UGGGCAACCUGCCCUGUACUGUGGAAUAAUCAUUGGAAACGAUGACUAAUACCGCAUGUGGUCCUCGGAAGGCAUCUUCUGAGGAAGAAAGGAUUUAUUCGGUACAGGAUGGGCCCGCAUCUGAUUAGCUAGUUGGUGAGAUAACAGCCCACCAAGGCGACGAUCAGUAGCCGACCUGAGAGGGUGAUCGGCCACAUUGGACUGAGACACGGCCAA